GGGGAAUAUUGCACAAUGGGCGAAAGCCUGAUGCAGCAACGCCGCGUGAGUGAUGAAGGCCUUCGGGUCGUAAAACUCUGUCCUUGGUGACGAAAAAAUGACGGUACCAGAGGAGGAAGCCACGGCUAACUACGUGCCAGCAGCCGCGGUAAUACGUAGGUGGCGAGCGUUGUCCGGAUUUACUGGGCGUAAAGGGUGCGUAGGCGGAUAUUUAAGUCAGAUGUGAAAACCCCGGGCUUAACUUGGGGACUGCAUUUGAAACUGGAUAUCUAGAGUGCAGGAGAGGUAAUCGGAAUUCCUUGUGUAGCGGUGAAAUGCGUAGAUAUAAGGAAGAACACCAGUGGCGAAGGCGGAUUACUGGACGACAACUGACGGUGAGGCGCGAAAGCGUGGGGAGCAAACA
rnacentral:rRNA from 2 species